rnacentral:piRNA from 1 species
UGGGUUCAGGCUGAGAAGAGAGAAC